AUAAUUACCUUGCAAGGGCAAUACCAUGAUCAAGGAGGUACAGUAGUUUGCCCAAAGCGAGGCUCGGACAUUGCACUCGGGCUGUGCUGACCUUUGCGAAUGGGAACCUCGACUGCAUAAUUUUUGAUAGUAAGGGACUGCGUUCAUGCUCUCCCUUG